UACGUAGGGUGCGAGCGUUAAUCGGAAUCACUGGGCUUAAAGAGUCCGUAGGCGGCAUGUUAGGUGAGGUGUGAAAUCUCCAGGCUCAACCUGGAGGGGUCAUUCGAUACUGCCGUGACUAGAGGUCGGUAGGGGAGUGUGGAAUUCCUGGUGUAGCGGUGAAAUGCGCAGAUAUCAGGAGGAACACCGGUGGCGAAGGCGGUGGUCUGGGCCGGCACUGACGCUGAGGAGCGAAAGCGUGGGGAGCAAACAGG
rnacentral:rRNA from 1 species